CAUCUUGCAAUCUUAGAAAUGGUGGCUGUGACCAUGUUUGUGCGGUGAAUGCAGAGGGACAGGUCCAGUGUAACUGUCGAAAAGGCUGGAAGUUGGGCGGGGACCACCGGAGCUGCGUUGAUGUGAAUGAGUGUGGGGACUUUACGAACGGAGGCUGUGAGCAGCUCUGUUUGAACCACCCAGGUGGAUUCAACUGCACCUGCAGAGAAGGGUAUCAAGUACAAACGGACGACCUCACAAAGUGCAAGCCUGUGUGUGAGCCUCCCUGUCAAAACUAUGGAGUGUGUGUGGCCCCAAACAGCUGUGACUGUCCUCCAGGUUACCCUGGACUCGGCUGCUUAG